AUACGUAGGGGGCAAGCGUUGUCCGGAAUUAUUGGGCGUAAAGCGCGCGCAGGCGGCCUGUUAAGUCGGGUGUGAAAGCCCACGGCUCAACCGUGGGAUUGCAUCCGAAACUGGUGGGCUUGAGUGCAGGAGAGGAGAGUGGAAUUCCCGGUGUAGCGGUGGAAUGCGUAGAUAUCGGGAGGAACACCAGUGGCGAAGGCGGCUCUCUGGCCUGUAACUGACGCUGAGGCGCGAAAGCGUGGGUAGCAAACAGGAUUAGAUACCCUGGUAGUCCACGCCGUAAACGAUGAGUGCUAGGUGUUGGGGGUAUCACGCCCUCUGUGCCGAAGGUAACCCAAUAAGCACUCCGCCUGGGGAGUACGGCCGCAAGGCUGAA
rnacentral:rRNA from 1 species